GAAAGGAGAAAGAAGAAGAAGAAGAGAAGAACGGAAGAGGAGAAGAGGAGAAGAGGAGAAGAGAAGAGUAGAGAGGGAGAUCAAGGAAGAGAUCAAUCUACUCAGGUUGCUGUUGGAAAGUUCAGCAAAUAGGAGUUCCAAAUUGCUGUGAGGGAGCCUAUUCAGAACCAGGAGGAGAGAUAACUGUUUCUGAUUUUCGGGAUUACCAGUUCAGAGUAUGAUGCUAUGGCUAUAGAUCAGUUGGCUUGUAUUCAGGAUGAUGAAUUUAGUCAUGGGCCUGAUUGCGAGUGUGAUGAUUGUGUUUAUGGUGGACAACAUUUUCUAAGAACUGAUGUAUAUGAUCAUUCUAUUGUGUAUAUAUAUGGAUAGUUAUGGAAACCAGUUUUUUAUGGUUCAGACUACAACUGGGAGACUUGUUGAUGGUUUGGACAAGUGGGAGAGAGGUUUGAUGGUUUGGCAAGU